rnacentral:rRNA from 1 species
GCGAACACAAGUAAUUGGGGGGGAAAGCACGGGGGGAAACUCGGUAUUAAUACCGCAUACGACCUACGGGAGAAAGGGGGCAGUUUACUGCUCUCGCUAUUAGAUGAGCCUAAGUCGGAUUAGCUAGAUGGUGGGGUAAAGGCCUACCAUGGCGACGAUCUGUAGCUGGUCUGAGAGGAUGAUCAGCCACACCGGGACUGAGACACGGCCCGGACUCCUACGGGAGGCAGCAGUGGGGAAUAUUGGACAAUGGGGGAAACCCUGAUCCAGCCAUGCCGCGUGUGUGAAGAAGGCCUUUUGGUUGUAAAGCACUUUAAGCAGUGAAGAAGACUCCAUGGUUAAUACCCAUGGACGAUGACAUUAGCUGCAGAAUAAGCACCGGCUAACUCUGUGCCAGCAGCCGCGGUAAUACAGAGGGUGCAAGCGUUAAUCGGAAUUACUGGGCGUAAAGGGAGCGUAGGUGGCUCUAUAAGUCAGAUGUGAAAUCCCCGGGCUUAACCUGGGAACUGCAUCUGAAACUGUAGAGCUAGAGUAUGUGAGAGGAAGGUAGAAUUCCAGGUGUAGCGGUGAAAUGCGUAGAGAUCUGGAGGAAUACCGAUGGCGAAGGCAGCCUUCUGGCAUAAAUACUGACACUGAGGCUCGAAAGCGUGGGUAGCAAACAGGAUUUAGAUACCCUGGGUAGUCCACGCCGUAAACGAUGUCUACUAGUCGUUGGGGUCCCCUUGAGGACUUAGUGACGCAGCUAACGCAAUAAGUAGACCGCCUGGGGAGUACGGCCGCAAGGUUAAAACUCAAAUGAUUUGACCGGGGGCUCCGCACAAGCGGUGGAGCAUGUGGUUUAAUUUCGAUGCAACGCGUAAGAACCUUACCUUGGUCUUGACAUAAUCCAAGAAUCCUGCAGAAGAU